GUGCGAUUGGAUUGCACGUCUAAGCAGUAAGGCUGAGUAUUAGGCAAAUCCGGUACUCGUUAAGGCUGAGCUGUGAUGGGGAGAAGACAUUGUGUCUUCGAGUCGUUGAUUUCACACUGCCGAGAAAAGCCUCUAGAUAGAAAAUAGGUGCCCGUACCGCAAACCGACACAGGUAGUCAAGAUGAGAAUUCUAAGGUGAGCGAGCGAACUCUCGUUAAGGAACUCGGCAAAAUGACCCCGUAACUUCGGGAGAAGGGGUGCUCUUUAGGGUUAACGCCCAGAAGAGCCGCAGUGAAUAGGCCCAAGCGACUGUUUAUCAAAAACACAGGUCUCUGCUAAACCGUAAGGUGAUGUAUAGGGGCUGACGCCUGCCCGGUGCUGGAAGGUUAAGAGGAGUGGUUAGCUUCUGCGAAGCUACGAAUCGAAGCCCCAGUAAACGGCGGCCGUAACUAUAACGGUCCUAAGGUAGCGAAAUUCCUUGUCGGGUAAGUUCCGACCCGCACGAAAGGCGUAACGAUUUGGGCACUGUCUCAACGAGAGACUCGGUGAAAUCAUAGUACCUGUGAAGAUGCAGGUUACCCGCGACAGGACGGAAAGACCCCGUGGAGCUUUACUGUAGCCUGAUAUUGAAAUUCGGCACAGCUUGUACAGGAUAGGUAGGAGCCUUUGAAACGUGAGCGCUAGCUUACGUGGAGGCGCUGGUGGGAUACUACCCUAGCUGUGUUGGCUUUCUAACCCGCACCACUUAUCGUGGUGGGAGACAGUGUCAGGCGGGCAGUUUGACUGGGGCGGUCGCCUCCUAAAAGGUAACGGAGGCGCUCAAAGGUUCCCUCAGAAUGGUUGGAAAUCAUUCAUAGAGUGUAAAGGCAUAAGGGAGCUUGACUGCGAGACCUACAAGUCGAGCAGGGUCGAAAGACGGACUUAGUGAUCCGGUGGUUCCGCAUGGAAGGGCCAUCGCUCAACGGAUAAAAGCUACCCCGGGGAUAACAGGCUUAUCUCCCCCAAGAGUUCACAUCGACGGGGAGGUUUGGCACCUCGAUGUCGGCUCAUCGCAUCCUGGGGCUGUAGUCGGUCCCAAGGGUUGGGCUGUUCGCCCAUUAAAGCGGUACGCGAGCUGGGUUCAGAACGUCGUGAGACAGUUCGGUCCCUAUCCGUCGUGGGCGUAGGAAAUUUGAGAGGAGCUGUCCUUAGUACGAGAGGACCGGGAUGGACAUACCUCUGGUGUACCAGUUGUCGUGCCAACGGCAUAGCUGGGUAGCUAUGUGUGGACGGGAUAAGUGCUGAAAGCAUCUAAGCAUGAAGCCCCCCUCAAGAUGAGAUUUCCCAACUUCGGUUAUAAGAUCCCUCAAAGAUGAUGAGGUUAAUAGGUUCGAGGUGGAAGCAUGGUGACAUGUGGAGCUGACGAAUACUAAUCGAUCGAAGACUUAAUCAA
rnacentral:rRNA from 1 species